CCUACGGGAUGCAGCAGUGGGGAAUCUUAGACAAUGGGCGAAAGCCUGAUCUAGCCAUGCCGCGUGAGUGACGAAGGCCCUAGGGUCGUAAAGCUCUUUCGCCAGGGAUGAUAAUGACAGUACCUGGUAAAGAAACCCCGGCUAACUCCGUGCCAGCAGCCGCGGUAAUACGGAGGGGGUUAGCGUUGUUCGGAAUUACUGGGCGUAAAGCGCGCGUAGGCGGAUUAGUCAGUCAGAGGUGAAAUCCCAGGGCUCAACCCUGGAACUGCCUUUGAUACUGCUAGUCUUGAGUUCGAGAGAGGUGAGUGGAAUUCCGAGUGUAGAGGUGAAAUUCGUAGAUAUUCGGAGGAACACCAGUGGCGAAGGCGGCUCACUGGCUCGAUACUGACGCUGAGGUGCGAAAGCGUGGGGAGCAAACAGGAUUAGAUACCCUAGUAGUC
rnacentral:rRNA from 1 species